GACGAACGCUGGCGGCGUGCUUAACACAUGCAAGUCGAACGGAAAGGCCCUGCUUGCAGGGUACUCGAGUGGCGAACGGGUGAGUAACACGUGGGUGAUCUGCCCUGCACUUCGGGAUAAGCCUGGGAAACUGGGUCUAAUACCGGAUAGGAGCCAUUUUUAGUGGGAUGGUUGGAAAGUUUUUUCGGUGUAGGAUGAGCUCGCGGCCUAUCAGCUUGUUGGUGGGGUAAUGGCCUACCAAGGCGGCGACGGGUAGCCGGCCUGAGAGGGUGGACGGCCACAUUGGGACUGAGAUACGGCCCAGACUCCUACGGGAGGCAGCAGUGGGGAAUAUUGCACAAUGGGCGCAAGCCUGAUGCAGCGACGCCGCGUGGGGGAUGACGGCCUUCGGGUUGUAAACUCCUUUCGCUAGGGACGAAGCUUUUUGUGACGGUACCUAGAGAAGAAGCACCGGCUAACUACGUG
rnacentral:rRNA from 1 species